UUAAAUACAUCAUUCAACAAAAUUCUGUUUUCUUUCAGUAUGGUAUUACUCAUACCCUCUUGCAUGUACACUACUAUUACACAUACACUGACUACAGACAGCAAUGUACGACUUUCCAGAAUACAUUAAGAUAUAGUGAAGUGUAAUUUGCAGAUAUUAAUAAUAUCUUAGAUUCCAAGAUACAUUAGUUAUAGUUAUCAACUGAUAAUUAUGCAUGGUAGCAGUCAAGCAGAUAGACUCCACUUUUAUGUACUCUUCUGGUUUUGCUUUCAGCAUGUCAGUGAGUAUUUGGAUUUAUUUUCACAUACCAGUCUCUGGACAAGCACCUGAACCGUGUAGUACGAAGUCCAAAUUAAGUUUCCACAGCAUAAAGUAUUAUUCUAUUAUUGGCCAAUGCAGAAAUUGAGCAAAGUUUUGUGCAAAAUAUCAUAAGUAUAUUAUGGAAUUGUAAUGAAACUAAUGUAAGUAGAGAUGUAUUUUUGCUUGUACUACCAGCUUUGUAAUAACAAAUAUAAUAAAUG